GUACAGAGGUCAAAGUGGUCCUUUCUGAGCAUGCGCGAAAGCGGAACAGUCUCUGGCGGCAAGUUGUCUUCUUGUUAAGUGAAGAAGUUUCGCCGCCUGGUUGUCUGUGAUGCUGGACCUCAGAGCCUAAGGAAGAGGAGGCAGGAGAUGGAGCAUGAACCCAGAGUCAGGGUGCCUGUGUUCAAGCCCCUUAUCAUUCGCCCUCUAUGUGACUUUGAAUCUGUUUUUUCAGCCAGAACUGGACGUGAAGGCAUCCUUAGAGCCUGUACAAUCAGCAGCAACUCCCAAAUUUCUCUACAGGAGGGGCUUGGGCCAUCAGUCUGGUGAAAGGACAAAUGCAGCUAGAGCAGAAGUCUGGAGACGAUGUUCAUUUACAAGUACUCUGGAUUA